AAUAUAUCGGAACGUGCCCAGUCGUGGGGGAUAACGUAGAGAAAUUUACGCUAAUACCGCAUACGAUCUAAGGAUGAAAGCGGGGGAUCGCAAGACCUCGCGCGAUUGGAGCGGCUGAUAUCAGAUUAGGUUGUUGGUGAGGUAAAAGCUCACCAAGCCGACGAUCUGUAGCUGGUUUGAGAGAACGACCAGCCACACUGGGACUGAGACACGGCCCAGACUCCUACGGGAGGCAGCAGUGGGGAAUUUUGGACAAUGGGCGAAAGCCUGAUCCAGCAAUGCCGCGUGCAGGAAGAAGGCCUUCGGGUUGUAAACUGCUUUUGUACGGAACGAAACGGCUCUUUCUAAUAAAGAGGGCUAAUGACGGUACCGUAAGAAUAAGCACCGGCUAACUACGUGCCAGCAGCCGCGGUAAUACGUAGGGUGCGAGCGUUAAUCGGAAUUACUGGGCGUAAAGCGUGCGCAGGCGGUUAUGUAAGACAGUUGUGAAAUCCCCGGGCUCAACCUGGGAAUUGCAUCUGUGACUGCAUGGCUAGAGUACGGUAGAGGGGGAUGGAAUUCCGCGUGUAGCAGUGAAAUGCGUAGAUAUGCGGAGG
rnacentral:rRNA from 1 species